rnacentral:tRNA from 1 species
UCCGGUGUGGUCUAGUGGCUAGGAUACCUGGCUCUCACCCAGGAGGCCCCGGGUUCGAUUCCCGGUACCGGAA